rnacentral:rRNA from 1 species
UACGAAGGGGGCUAGCGUUGCUCGGAAUUACUGGGCGUAAAGCGCACGUAGGCGGCUCUUUAAGUCGGGGGUGAAAUCCUGGAGCUCAACUCCAGAACUGCCUUCGAUACUGGAGAGCUUGAGUCCGGGAGAGGUGAGUGGAACUGCGAGUGUAGAGGUGAAAUUCGUAGAUAUUCGCAAGAACACCAGUGGCGAAGGCGGCUCACUGGCACGGUACUGACGCUGAGGUGCGAAAGCGUGGGGAGCAAACAGG